ensembl:ncRNA R04F11.16 ncRNA
UUAAGAUGUUUGAGCACUUUUUUAGGAAUCUUUGCAGAUUCUUCAAGAUCUUCAAUAUUAAACAAAAACCUCUUUUUCGAGGUUCGAUACUUGAUACCUCAAUUGCGUGCAAAUUCUGUAUAAAACUUGCCUGUGGUAAUUUAUGG